UUCAGUUCUUCAUAGGAUGGCAGCACUUCCCAAGGGAUGGUGUUCUGUGUAUUUUGCAGCAAUUUACACAUCCAUAGCACCAAUCCCUGCCUUUAACCCAGAUCUGUCCACGUGAGAAGCCCCAGAGCACCUCACCCAUGUCUGGAGCUGCGAAUUCACAUUGAGCAGACACACACUCUCUUGCUCUGGGUUUCAUCACACUGUGAAGUGGAAGCAGCACUGGACAACCCUGCACGGAGCAGCCCUGCAUCAGCCCCUGGAAACCAAAACCUCUUGUCAGAUUCUGUGGAAAACAUCAGGACAAGCAAAACCAACAUAUACAGAAUUAAAGGUGCUCUGGGCUUUUCUUCAGCUCCAUGAUAAUGAACACACACCUACCAGACCAGCAGACUGUGCUGCUCCUGCCUGGCCUCACUCCUGGAGAUGGCUCAGUGCGUCGGAUCCAGGUCUGACCUGAGCUAUGAUUAUGUGACAGUUCAAGUUAUGCUACAUUGAUUGUUUCUUCCCCAGAGACUAGAAGAGUUAAUCUACUUCAGCGGUGACUUGAUCAGCACUUAAAUCUUAAGGAAAAAAAAACAAAAAUGAGAAUAAAGGAUACGGGAUAGGGAACUUCUCCUUAGAUUAAGUCACUAAAUGUCAGAUCUAUGUAAAGGCUUUGUCUGGUGUAAAUCAAGAUAAAAACAGUAUGAAAUUUCUUGCAUGCUAUCUGCUUUGAAUUUAUUUAGCUCUUGCUGUUACCCAAAGCUAAUAAUCCUGGACAGUCUGAGUGCCUGGAGUGUGUUGGUCUGUUGCUGAAUCCAGCUGGAUGUCACUCUGGAAGGGUAACCUGCACUCUAAUGAGCCCCACUCAGCCAGUGGACACCACGUGCACUCAGCAUCACAUGGCAUGACCCAGGAUUUAGACAGCUGUUGUACAUCACUGCCUGAAAUGCAGGGAGAAGUUUUAUUUCAGCUCCUCAUUAUUUUAAAGCAACCUGCAAAAAUUAUCACUGGAAAAAAUAGCCAAGGUGCAGCGCUGUCUCUGAGAGCUCUGCACACCUGUGGAUCCGUCUGCAGGCACUGUGCGGUGUGGGCACCAGGUGAGGUGACCCACAGCCAUGGGUGCUUUGAUUGGAGAAUGGGAUGU
rnacentral:lncRNA from 1 species